AACAAACGCUGGCGGCGUGCCUAAUACAUGCAAGUCGAACGGGGAAAGCUUUCGGGUGAGUACUAGUGGCGCACGGGUGAGGAACGCGUGGAUAAUCUGCCUUAGAGUGGGGGAUAACUAGUCGAAAGAUUAGCUAAUACCGCAUAAGACCACGAGAGCUGCGGCUUUUGAGGUCAAAGGUUUUUCGCUCUAAGAUGAGUCCGCGUAAGAUUAGCUAGUUGGUGAGGUAACGGCUCACCAAGGCGACGAUCUUUAAAUGGUCUGAGAGGAUGAUCAGUCACACUGGAACUGAGACACGGUCCAGACUCCUACGGGAGGCAGCAGUAGGGAAUAUUGCACAAUGGAGGAAACUCUGAUGCAGCGACGCCGCGUGAGUGAUGAAGGCCUUCGGGUCGUAAAGCUCUGUCGCAGGGGAAUAACACAAUGAAGGUACCCUGUAAGAAAGGAUCGGCUAACUUCGUG
rnacentral:rRNA from 1 species